GGCGGCCUAGCUCAAUUGGUAGAGCAACUGACUUGUAAUCAGUAGGUUGGGGGUUCAAGUCCUCUGGCCGGCACCA
rnacentral:tRNA from 1 species